UGUCGACUGUUGAAUACAAAUCAAAGUUCAACCCUCAGAAAACUCAGUCGCUCUCUCUCCGACUCUCGAGCCCCCUCGACUCGACCUCACCUCACCUCAGAGCUCAGACAACCUCUCCAUCACCACUCUCCUCGCCAAUUUCUCCCUCCGUCUUCCAAUCCGGCCACACCCACAUCACACAAGUGACUCACCUCUCUGAUCUCUCUCUCAAAUCAGAUUCUGUGCGCUUACUUUGUGGUGCUUCCGCUGCGCGAUGAGGGUGCAAUUUCCUUAGGUUUGUCGAGCCUGCCGAGCCUGUUUGUGAGGUCAUUAGCCCUCACCUCCAUUGCCGCACCAGUUGCAACUCUCAUUUUCUCUCUGCCCAAUGUUUCGAAAGGCAAGGUACUGCCGUGUAAUCUCUUUUCAUGAAGGCCACUGCUUGAAACGUGUGGGAAACAUUCCCUUGGAUGAAUACAAUGUUUCAGUAAUAUGAUGCAUGUGUCGUCCUAAAAUAAGCUCUCCGAGCACUUGGGAUUUCUGUGAGUCAUGUCAGUGAGAUGUUCAUGCUCAUGAGUAAGCUGUAUCCUAGUAUAAGCUAUAUCCUUGGGAUUUCUAUGUAUGAAGUUAAGGGCUAAAAGCCCAAUAUGUAUGAAGUUAUGCACAGAUUAUGCGCAGAUUGAUAUUGAUUGCACAAAUUGAGUUGGGCUA